UGUUUAGGACCUGCCAAAGCCCAUGCUUCGCAGUGUCAAUAAUACUCAAACUUCACAUGUCUCUUAAAACCAAAAAGUGAAAAUAUGAAGAGUGUCUACAUGUUGGAGUGGAAAGAUUGCUUCAGCUGCUGGCUUACAGAGUUGUGGUUGAGCAAGAUAAGGAAAGGAAUGACGUUUCCACGGAAGGAAGAGUUGGUUGGUUGGUUGUUUUUUUUUUUUUGUUUUGUUUUUUGUGGUACAAGAGGGCUUGUACAUGGCUUUUACUCUACUUAAUUCAAAACCAGGGAAUAUCUGGUUGCAUACCUUGUGGUACCUCAAAGUCAAAGUCCUGUUAAAUCCCAGAUACUUUGGCAUCCCUGUAUUCCUAUUCCUAUUGCACACAGGAUGACUGCAUUCUUCCUUCCCUUCGCUAUUCAAAGGAUCCACCUUUUCUACUUUCCCACUUUUGCCAGUGUUUUUGCAUUGCCAUAUCUCUGGGUACAAUUUAUCCUCCAAGGGAUUCUGUAUCCUUCAUUUCAUUUUCUCUGUACCAUGUCCACCAGGAUUCCUUUCUCUCAUCCUUCUCCCUUUCUCCAUCAUGGACUGAAUUAAACACUUUGGAUUUACACUCAGAAGAGCUGAGAUCUUCAGGCUGUUGGAAGAUUUUAUCAACCUGUAUUUUGAGAGUGCCACAGAACCCUGCUUGGCUCCCAUCCGUGCCUCCUGAACUUGCAGAGUGCCCAGCACAACAGCCUUAAGAAAGAAAGAGGAAGAAGAAAUUAUAAGAAAAGAGAAGAAGAGGGGAAAAUAUGUGGCAUCCAUUGGUUUCAUACUGAUUAAGAGUCCUUGCUGGAGAUCCCCCAGCCCAGCACUUCCCUUCCUCACAUCGGGCCCGGCCCACUGAAAGUGCUGCCUGAGUGACUACCCAAAUGGCAUCUGCCUGCCUGAGUUGGCUCCCACUGUGGUCCUCACACCAUCAACUUGGACAGCUGCAGCAGCAGGAGUGGGAAUGUUCCCCCAUUCCUAGGAUGGUUCAGGUGCCCUGAAAGUGCGUGUUUAAUGGGAGCCGUCAUGAAGGUUGUUGGAGAGACACGUGGAAAUAGCAACCAGCAUGGUGCCCUAUGAGCUGGCUCAUUAAAGACACUAAUAACGAUGUGCAGCAUUCCUCUGCCUUGAGAUCACCACCCCAGAGUAAUCAGGAUGAUGCCAGAACUGUGCAACACCUUCCAACGCUGUCAUUAAAAGCCAAAUCUUCGCCUCAGAAAAGUCAGUGCCAAAACCCCAUUCAGUCUUCUGCUGCCUUUUGGCCAUCUUCUGCCAGCCCAGACAUUGGGCACACACCAGGGGAUGGGGACAUUAGCCUAUGGGUGGAUGGGAGCCAGGAUUAGGCCUGCAUCUCCUGAACAGUGGAGUAACAUCACAGAAUCACAGAAUUGUAGGGGUUGGAAGGGACCUCCAGAGAUCAUCGAGUCCAACCCCCUUGGAUCAUCCUUGGAGAGCCCGUCAGAAGCACCGCUGUGGCGAGUGUGUGACCUGGGCACAGCCUAGACUGACCUGGACAAAGAGGUGAGCUGGGCUUGGUGCUGCCUGGUGGCUGGAAGGAGUCUCAGCAGAAAAGCUGGGCUGGGGAGGAGUUCCCAGCUCAAACGAGGCCCUUCCCAAUGGCUGUUUCCAGGGGAAAUUGUUUCUCUGAGAGAUUGUGGCACACGUUUUGGUGAGGAUGACGAAUUGCCGUCACUCCCCUGUGUAACGCUACAGUGCAAUGGAAAGUGCAGCAGUAACAGCAGGGUGGCAAAGUCCUAGGCUGCAACAAGCGAGGAUUUGCCCAGGUGCAGCAGCUGGGGACACAGAAAGCAAGGAAAAAAGCUGCUGAGCCUUGGAAGGCCUCA